rnacentral:rRNA from 1 species
GACGAACGCUGGCGGCGUGCUUAACACAUGCAAGUCGAGCGGUAAGGCCCUUUCGGGGGUACACGAGCGGCGAACGGGUGAGUAACACGUGGGUGACCUGCCCUCAGCUCUGGGAUAAGGCCUGGGAAACCGGGUCUAAAUACUGGAUAUGACUCCAUGACGCAUGUUGUGGGGUGAAAGCCUUGUGCGGCUGAGGAUGGGCCCGCGGCCUAUCAGCUUGUUGGUGGGGUGANGGCCUACCAAGGCGACGACGGGUAGCCGGCCUGAGAGGGCGACCGGCCACACUGGGACUGAGACACGGCCCAGACUCCUACGGGAGGCAGCAGUGGGGAAU